ensembl:lncRNA
CCAGAAUCCUUUGAGACAGGACGGAGAGUUUAAAAGGCGGUGCAACUUCCGCUUCCUCGCGAGUGGGAGCGCGGCCGGGGUUGAGGACAGAGCUGUUGAGUGUGGUGUGGCGUGCAUGGUACGUGUGGGCUGACUGUGAGCGUGGGUGUGGGAGUGCGUGUGCGCGCGUGGGGCGAGCAAGGCGAGUGUGUGUGUCCGCCCCGCGCCCCUCCCCCGCCUACACCUUGAUCUUAUUUGAUCGGGUCGUGACCCCCGCCCCGCCGGGCCUGUCCCAGCCGCUGAUUACCGAGGCGAUUCUGAUCUGAGCCCGACCCCAGGACCCGGCCGCGGCCGCCUAGCCCGAGCUCGCCCCCGUCUGCGGCCUCGUGUGCUGACGCGCAGACACCCAGGGUGAAAGCGCCCAGAGCAGGCGUCAUGCUGCCACUUGGAGGUGGAGGCCUUCGUUCCCGCUGCCGUUUUCCUUGCCCCCUCUGUUUAGGCUGCGUUUGUGUGGGGCUUUUUUUCUUAAGGGGCUAUGCACUGUUUAGCCUCUGCUGAGGAAUGUGUCCGUAAGAGAACAUAAACUUACACCUGCAGGUUUCAGGGACUUACUCCAUAUAUAGUGAAUUAAAAUGGGGUGUGUAGGGUUCAAGGCUUAAAGGGUGAAUGUUUUGUCUUAAGGCGUAGUCCCUUAUCUUUUUUUUACCCCCUCAGGCAAUGGACUUGGUUUGUAGCUGAGGAGGAUCUUGAAUUUUUGAACUGCCUACCUCCAUCUCCUGGGCUCAGAUUACAGCCACUUUACUAACACAUUAGGCUAAAAGAAAAACAAAAAACAAACCUUUGGCAUAUGUAUGUUCCUGAGAGUAUGGAUGCUUGGUUGUAUGGGGCGUGCAGGUGCUUGAGGUUUGAGGUUGACUUCAUCCCCAUUUCAUUUUCUGAGGCAAAUCCUCUCCCUGAAUGAGGAGCGUUGUCUUUGUUUUUUUUUUUUUUUUUUUUUCGAGACAGAGUUUCUCUGUCUCCCAGGUGUUGGGUUAGAGGUGUGCACCACCACCACCUGCCUUCAGCCUACUUACUUUUUCUUUUUUGCGGGGGGAGGUUCCGAGACAGGGUUUCUCUGUGGCUUUGGAGGCUGUCCUGGAACUAGCUCUUGUAGACCAGGCUGGUCUCCUACUCACAGAGAUCCUUCUGCCUCUGCCUGGGACUAAAGGUGUGUGCCACCACCACCUCCUGGCCAGCCUACUUUAUUACACACACACACACACACACACAUUUUUCUUUUUUUUUCUUUUUUGGUUUUUCGAGACAGGUUUUCUCUGUGUAGCUUUGGAGCCUAUCCUGGCACUCAUUCUGGAGACCAGUGUGGCCUCGAACUCACAGAGAUCCGACUGCCUCUGCCUCCCGAGUGCUGGGAUUAAAGGCGUGCUCCACCAACGCCCAGCUGCCAGCCUACUUUCUUUUAGACUCCAGGACCACCAGCCCAGAGGUGGUCCCAUCCACCAGGGUAAGCCCUCCCCAUCAAUCACUUAAGAAAAGGCCUCCCUAAGAUUGACUUGAGUUUCCUUUCUCUCAGAUGACCCUAACUUGUGUAAAGUUGAGACAAAACCAGCCAGCACCAUUGAGGAGUAUAGACCCAUGAAAAAAGGAUGGAAUCCUGUUAUACAACUUAUCUGGAACUGGGAACAUUAAAUAAAAUCUAAACAAGUUGCUUUCAUACAGGUUGAUAGUAUAACAGUGAUGACCAGUGGCCAGGGAGAAUUGUGACAGAUAGAUAGGGGAAAAGAUUGGACAGUUGCUAUCCAUCAGGGAAAAUAAGUUCUGAUGUUCUAUUGCAAGGUGAGAUGAUUACAAAAAAUGUAUCCUAUAUGUAAAACACACUGUGAGCGUGGGUGUGGGAGUGCGUGUGCACGCGUGGGGCGAGCAAG